AAGAGUGUGGCUAAAUAGAAAAGCAUCUCCCUUACACCGAGAAAAUACUUGUGCAAAUCCAGUCACUCUUA
rnacentral:tRNA from 1 species